CCUACGAGUGGCAGCAGUGAGGAAUAUUGGUCAAUGGGCGCGAGCCUGAACCAGCCAAGUCGCGUGAGGGAAGACGGUCCUAUGGAUUGUAAACCUCUUUUGUCGGGGAGCAAAAGACGCCACGCGUGGCGUUCCGAGAGUACCCGAAGAACAAGCAUCGGCUAACUCCGUGCCAGCAGCCGCGGUAAUACGGAGGAAGCGAGCGUUAUCCGGAUUUAUUGGGUUUAAAGGGUGCGCAGGCGGAAGAUCAAGGCAGCGGUAAACUUGAGAGGCUCAACCUCUUCGAGCCGUUGAAACUGGUGUUCUGGCGUGAGUGAGAAGUAGGCGGAAUGCGUGGUGUAGCGGUGAAAUGCAUAGAUAUCACGCAGAACUCCGAUUGCGAAGGCAGCAUACCGGCGCUCAACUGACGCUCAUGCACGAAAGUGUGGGUAUCGAACAGGAUUAGAUACCCCAGUAGUC
rnacentral:rRNA from 1 species